AUAAACGCUGGCGGCGUGCCUAAUACAUGCACGUCGAGCGAACAGACGAGGAGCUUGCUCCUCUGAUGUUAGCGGCGGACGGGUGAGUAACACGUGGAUAACCUACCUAUAAGACUGGGAUAACUUCGGGAAACCGGAGCUAAUACCGGAUAACAUGUUGAACCGCAUGGUUCAACAGUGAAAGACGGUCUUGCUGUCACUUAUAGAUGGAUCCGCGCCGCAUUAGCUAGUUGGUAAGGUAACGGCUUACCAAGGCAACGAUGCGUAGCCGACCUGAGAGGGUGAUCGGCCACACUGGAACUGAGACACGGUCCAGACUCCUACGGGAGGCAGUAGUAGGGAAUCUUCCGCAAUGGGCGAAAGCCUGACGGAGCAACGCCGCGUGAGUGAAGAAGGUCUUCGGAUCGUAAAACUCUGUUAUUAGGGAAGAACAAAUGUGUAAGUAACUAUGCACGUCUUGACGGUACCUAAUCAGAAAGCCACGGCUAACUACGUG
rnacentral:rRNA from 1 species